GCGGUUUUUUGUGAUUUACGGUAUUGGCAGGACUUAAAAUCCGCUGGCCGCAAGGCCGUGGGGGUUCGAGUCCCCCCGCCCGCACCA
rnacentral:tRNA from 1 species